GCUACUUAGUUGUGGGUUUUUUUCCUCUUUUAAUAGCCCCAGAACCCCUAAUAAAAGAGAGUUGAACAAACAGUUUGAGAACAGAGGAGUGAGUACAAAACACAGAGCACUUGAAUCACAAGGUGGUCCAGCUGGAAAGAGCCUUGAGAUAACCAAAUCCAACCCUGUCCUCUUACAGAUGAAGCAGCCAAGCCCCCAAAAAGGUUGGGUGACUCACCCACGGAUACGGCCAGCAAGACACUCUGCCCACCUGACUCCCCAGGGCUCGCUCUGCUCUCCCUCAGUUCCUUCCAACGUCUGCAACCGCUGAGGGGCCCAAUCCCGUGGGACGAGGGGCUCGUAGGAUCGGAAGCUAUAAAGCCUAUUCCAAUAGCAAAAAUUUUAUCCAUUCGGGAGGUGUCGGGUGUCUGCUGAGUGCCAGGAGAUGGAACACUGGAGACAGAACAGUGAAUAAGGGCCCAGGUGUCUGCUUUGUCACCUUGACCUUCAAGUUUGGCACGAUGAUGACUGAGAAUAAAUAAAUCAAUCAAUAAAUAUGACGCUUUCAGAGAGUGAGCCGUACUAAAAUAGUAUACCAGGAUCGUAUGACAGCUUAAGGAGGAGGGGGCUGCUUUGGGUCAUCCACUGUGCAGGAACACUCUGCUGUAGCUCCAAACCAAACCAGAAGCUGCAGGAUGCAAGGAGAGAAGCAGAGGCAAGGACAACACAGAAACCAAAAAUAUUUUGGCUUUUACCUGAGUCCAAGAGUCUGACCGAACCCACCGCCUGGCUGCCCAGAUUGCCAGAGGGCACUCGAGGCCGGGGCAAAGUGUCAGCAACAGGGGAAGAAAGAGACCUGGGGAAACAGGCCUUUUUGAGCCAAUCACUGAGCCCUGCCCACCCUCUCCCAGCUUGAGGCAAUUGGGGGAGGAUUCGAGUGGGGGCUGUGGCUGAUCGGCAGUGCCUCCUUCCCCUGUCCUCACCGGGCACUGUCCUCAUCGGGUACUGGCUGCAGCUUGAGAACCUAUCAUUUUUCUCCCCCUGACCCUGCACUCGCAGGAAUAAGUGA
rnacentral:lncRNA from 1 species